AUCUACUUAUUAUAAUUAGUAAGUUUAACUUCCAAUUAAAAAGUCCUUUUAGGAGUAGAUU
rnacentral:tRNA from 1 species